UUCAAGUGGGGUAAGAACACCGAAAAUAAAGUUCCUUAUGCUUACUGCUUCUAAGUUGAUAAUAUUUAUUGUUCUUGGUCCAUAACUUUACCAUGAUAUUCAUUCAAGUUCGUUGUUCUUGGUUUCAUUGCAGUUACUCACGUUUGAUAUUAUAGCUCCUUCAAAUAAUCUUUGUUGAAGCCAUAGCCACAAAACAGUUAUUGAGUACUUCCUCCG
rnacentral:lncRNA from 1 species